rnacentral:rRNA from 1 species
GCAGUCGAGCGAUGAACCCUUCGGGGUGGAUUAGCGGCGGACGGGUGAGUAACACGUGGGUAACCUGCCUCAAAGAGGGGAAUAGCCUCCCGAAAGGGAGAUUAAUACCGCAUAAUAUGUUUUGGUCGCAUGAUCGAAACAUCAAAGGAAUUUUCUUCGGAUUAUUCCACUUUGAGAUGGACCCGCGGCGCAUUAGCUAGUUGGUGAGGUAACGGCUCACCAAGGCGACGAUGCGUAGCCGACCUGAGAGGGUGAUCGGCCACAUUGGAACUGAGACACGGUCCAGACUCCUACGGGAGGCAGCAGUGGGGAAUAUUGCGCAAUGGGGGAAACCCUGACGCAGCAACGCCGCGUGAAUGAUGAAGGCCUUCGGGUUGUAAAGUUCUGUCUUCUGGGACGAUAAUGACGGUACCAGAGGAGGAAGCCACGGCUAACUACGUGCCAGCAGCCGCGGUAAUACGUAGGUGGCAAGCGUUGUCCGGAUUUACUGGGCGUAAAGGAUGCGUAGGCGGACAUUUAAGUCAGAUGUGAAAUACCCGAGCUUAACUUGGGUGCUGCAUUUGAAACUGGGUGUCUAGAGUGCAGGAGAGGUAAGUGGAAUUCCUAGUGUAGCGGUGAAAUGCGUAGAGAUUAGGAAGAACACCAGUGGCGAAGGCGACUUACUGGACUGUAACUGACGCUGAGGCAUGAAAGCGUGGGGAGCAAACAGGAUUAGAUACCCUGGUAGAAUCACUAGUGAAUUC